GACGAACGCUGGCGGCGUGCUUAACACGUGCAAGUCGAACGGAAAGGCCCUGCAUUUGUGGGGUGCUCGAGUGGCGAACGGGUGAGUAACACGUGAGUAACCUGCCCUUGACUUUGGGAUAACUUCAGGAAACUGGGGCUAAUACCGGAUAGGAGCUCCUGCUGCAUGGUGGGGGUUGGAAAGUUUCGGCGGUUGGGGAUGGACUCGCGGCUUAUCAGCUUGUUGGUGGGGUAGUGGAUUACCAAGGCUUUGACGGGUAGCCGGCCUGAGAGGGUGAGCGGCCACAUUGGGACGGAGAUACGGCACAGACCACUACGGGAGGCAGCAGUGGGGAAUAGUGCACUGUGGGCGGAAGCCUGAUGCAGCAACGCCGCGUGCGGGAUGACGGCCUUCGGGUUGUAAACCGCUUUCGCCUGUGACGAAGCGUGAGUGACGGUAAUGGAUAAAGAAGCACCGGCUAACUACGUG
rnacentral:rRNA from 1 species